rnacentral:lncRNA from 1 species
UUUUUUAAAGAAGUAAAUACAUUAAUUUCCAGUAUGUUCAUUGUUUUGUAAAGUUUGCUUUGCUGAUCAUGUAAGCUGUGGAAGUUUGUCUUUAUAUAUCACUUUUCUGAAGAAAGACACAAAAAUGGACAAAAACCGGACAUUGAUAGGGUAAUGACCAAUUUAAUGGACCGGUCAUUUACAACCCCCAUAAAGAGGGAAUAGGAAGACAUUAAAGGAGCCUUUAAUUUUGAUUUUUUUU